ACGCUGGCGGCGUGCCUAAUACAUGCAAGUAGAACGCUGAAGGAGGAGCUUGCUUCUCCGGAUGAGUUGCGAACGGGUGAGUAACGCGUAGGUAACCUGCCUGGUAGCGGGGGAUAACUAUUGGAAACGAUAGCUAAUACCGCAUAAGAGUAGAUGUUGCAUGACAUUUGCUUAAAAGGUGCAAUUGCAUCACUACCAGAUGGACCUGCGUUGUAUUAGCUAGUUGGUGGGGUAACGGCUCACCAAGGCGACGAUACAUAGCCGACCUGAGAGGGUGAUCGGCCACACUGGGACUGAGGCACGGCCCAGACUCCUACGGGAGGCAGCAGUAGGGAAUCUUCGGCAAUGGACGGAAGUCUGACCGAGCAACGCCGCGUGAGUGAAGAAGGUUUUCGGAUCGUAAAGCUCUGUUGUAAGAGAAGAACGAGUGUGAGAGUGGAAAGUUCACACUGUGACGGUAUCUUACCAGAAAGGGACGGCUAACUACGUGCCAGCAGCCGCGGUAAUACGUAGGUCCCGAGCGUUGUCCGGAUUUAUUGGGCGUAAAGCGAGCGCAGGCGGUUAGAUAAGUCUGAAGUUAAAGGCUGUGGCUUAACCAUAGUACGCUUUGGAAACUGUUUAACUUGAGUGCAAGAGGGGAGAGUGGAAUUCCAUGUGUAGCGGUGAAAUGCGUAGAUAUAUGGAGGAACACCGGUGGCGAAAGCGGCUCUCUGGCUUGUAACUGACGCUGAGGCUCGAAAGCGUGGGGAGCAAACAGGAUUAGAUACCCUGGUAGUCCACGCCGUAAACGAUGAGUGCUAGGUGUUAGACCCUUUCCGGGGUUUAGUGCCGCAGCUAACGCAUUAAGCACUCCGCCUGGGGAGUACGACCGCAAGGUUGAAACUCAAAGGAAUUGACGGGGGCCCGCA
rnacentral:rRNA from 1 species